UAUAUAUUAGUGUAUAAGCACAUAAGAUUUUGAUUCUUUUGGAUUUAAUUAAAUUUAUUAUAUAUAA
rnacentral:tRNA from 1 species